rnacentral:rRNA from 1 species
CCUACGGGUGGCAGCAGUGAGGAAUAUUGGUCAAUGGGCUUACGCCUGAACCAGCCAAGUCGCGUGAGGGAAGACUGCCCUAUGGGUUGUAAACCUCUUUUGUCAGGGAGCAAUUGGCGCUACGUGUAGCGUUAUCGAGAGUACCUGAAGAAAAAGCAUCGGCUAACUCCGUGCCAGCAGCCGCGGUAAUACGGAGGAUGCGAGCGUUAUCCGGAUUUAUUGGGUUUAAAGGGUGCGUAGGCGGAAUGCCAAGUCAGCGGUAAAAUCGCGGGGCUCAACCUCGCUCCGCCGUUGAAACUGUGCGGCUGGAGUGCAGGAGGGGUAAGCGGAAUUCCUAGUGUAGCAGUGAAAUGCGUAGAUAUUAGGAGGAACACCGGUGGCGAAGGCGGCUUACUGGACUGUAACUGACGUUGAGGCUCGAAAGCGUGGGGAGCAAACGGGAGUAGAUACCCCAGUAGUC